CCUGCCAGAGCCGCCACUGCCAGCGACGUGUUCAAGGUAAUUCAGAGGUCCGUGGGGCCAGCCAGCCUGAGUCUACUCACCUUAAAAGUGUAUGCAGCACCGAAAAAGGACCCACCUCCCCCACAUCCCAAGAAGAUUGAUGAGCUUUUACCCUACUCAGCUCCCGCGGGUCAAUCUAAAUAUGUGGAAGAACCACGGACCCAACUCGAAGAAAGCAUCUCACAGCUCCGACACUAUUGCGAGCCAUAUACACGCGGGUGUCAGGAAACAUACUCUCAAACUAAGCCCAAGAUACAAACUUUGGUUCAAUGGAGGUUAGACAGCUAUGAAUCUCCAAAAUGCACCGGGUUUUUCCCAAGACUUGGUGUUAUUGGUUUUGCUGGCCUUGUUGGACUCCUUUUGGCUAGAGGUUCAAAAGUAAAGAAGCUGGUAUAUCCACCUGGUUUCAUGGGAUUAGCUGCCUCUAUUAUCCACAACACAUCACAUUUGUCCAGGUCAGCGAGGAGAAAUUAUAUGACUGGGGUUUACGAGGAUACAUAGUCAUAGAAGAUUUAUGGAAGGGGAGCUUUCAAAAGCCUGGAAAGGUGAAGAAUUCACCCAGAAAUAAGUAGAAAACUCCAUGCUCUGCCCAUAUUAAUCAGUUAUAGGUAAACAUUGGAAACUCCAUACAGUAAAUCAAUAUUUCUACAGAAAAAUGGCAGAGAAGUCAGUAUUGAAUGUAUUAAACUGGCUUUCUUCUUCAGGAAAAACUAUACUAGGCCUCUGUUUUCUUGGGUGAUACCAUCCUACAAGCAAACUAAUCUGAAAUUUUUUCACCUGGUGAUAAUGUACAAGCCUUAGAACUCCUCAUUCUCAUGUUGCUAUUUAUGUACAUAAUUAAAAUCCAAGUUAAAAAAAAAUAAAUAAAUAUCAUAUGCAUUAAAAGUGAGGGAAAGUUGUUCACCAGAGGAAAAUCAAAUUGCUUGUUACUAAAAGGGGGACAAGAUAUUAGGCAAGCAAAAACCAACACAUGUCCUCCAUAGAGGAGAUGUCCUGUACAUCGGUAAUUAUAUGGUAAGGCUAGGAGUGAUGCCUGUCUUAAGUGGUUAAGGUCCACAAACACCUUCUAGGAGGAAGCCUAUGAACUAGGCCUUCUGGAUAGGUAGGAUAAUGGUAGAUGAAGAUGAGGAGGCCUUUCAGAUACAUGGAAAGGCAUGAACAAAGGCAGGGAGGUAAGGAUCCUUUGAAGGUUUUCCAAGUUUGCUGGGAACUUUUGGGAAUUAAGUCUGGCAUUUUGGUUGGGGGCUAGAUCUAUACAUAAUCUAAUAAGUGCUAAUCAUUUAUGCAGAUUUCUUCCAUAUAUGAUCUCAAAAAAGAGUAAUUUUGCCAGGCACCAGGAGUAGGAUUAUUUUUCCCGUGUUACCGAUGGGGCAAGUGAGGCCUAGUGAUGCCUGCUGAGAGUCCCCCCUCUUGUGUCCAGAGACGGAACAGCACAAGAAGCCCAAUUUCUGCCCUCCAGCCCAGGACCUAGCCACUCCCCCCAUCCAGAGUAAAAAUAAAAUCUGGGGUUGGAAAUCACCAGGACAGUAGCUGUGGCUCAGCCCCAGGGCCAGCCUGAGGACACCUCUGGAGGAAGCUGUGGAACAACCAUAUAGUCAAGAAAGAAGGUAUCUGACUUGCAUAAUGGCUAACAGCAGAGACUCUGGAGUCAGGCCUGGUUUUAAUUCUCAGUUUCAUGAGUUGAGGUGUUACCCUGGACAGAUUAUAUAACUUCUCUAAGCCUUAGUUUCCUCAUCUGUAAACAAGGCA